CCUACGGGAGGCAGCAGUGAGGAAUAUUGGUCAAUGGACGAGAGUCUGAACCAGCCACGUCGCGUGAAGGAUGACUGCCCUAUGGGUUGUAAACUUCUUUUAUAUGGGAAUAAAAUGUUCCACGUGUGGGAUUUUGUAUGUACCAUAUGAAUAAGGAUCGGCUAACUCCGUGCCAGCAGCGGCGGUAAUACGGAGGAUCCGAGCGUUAUCCGGAUUUAUUGGGUUUAAAGGGAGCGUAGGUGGAUUGUUAAGUCAGUUGUGAAAGUUUGCGGCUCAACCGUAAAAUUGCAGUUGAAACUGGCAGUCUUGAGUACAGUAGAGGUGGGCGGAAUUCGUGGUGUAGCGGUGGAAUGCUUAGAUAUCACGAAGAACUCCGAUUGCGAAGGCAGCUCACUGGACUGCAACUGACACUGAGGCUCGAAAGUGUGGGUAUCAAACAGGAUUAGAUACCCGGGUAGUC
rnacentral:rRNA from 1 species